GGCAGAGGGAAGCUCACUGGUGGGGCUACGAGCUGAGUGCACCUUGUCACUUUACCCAUGUCCCCUGGGAAGGUCUGAGACUAGGGCCAAGAGUGGCCCUAACAGGGCCCUCCCUGAGCUGCAAGGAGGUGACUGGGGGAGGUGGAGGCAACUAAAAAAGGCCUCAGCCCAGUUUUUUUAAAUGGCCCAAUGGGAUAUAAUAAGACCUAGGUGACGUAUGAGGAAACAGGUGAUCCCAUAGUACUCAGCCAAUGAGGUACCGGAGAAGGGACUGAAUAAAUAGGCUGUUUGCUGCC
rnacentral:RNase_P_RNA from 1 species